rnacentral:rRNA from 1 species
GAACCUCACUUGUGGGGGGAUUAGUGGCGAACGGGUGAGUAACACGUGAGUAACCUGCCCUUGACUCUGGGAUAAGCCUGGGAAACCGGGUCUAAUACUGGAUACGACCUUCUGGCGCAUGCCAUGUUGGUGGAAAGCUUUUGUGGUUUUGGAUGGACUCGCGGCCUAUCAGCUUGUUGGUGGGGUAAUGGCCUACCAAGGCGACGACGGGUAGCCGGCCUGAGAGGGUGACCGGCCACACUGGGACUGAGACACGGCCCAGACUCCUACGGGAGGCAGCAGUGGGGAAUAUUGCACAAUGGGCGCAAGCCUGAUGCAGCGACGCCGCGUGAGGGAUGAAGGCCUUCGGGUUGUAAACCUCUUUCAGUAGGGAAGAAGCCGGCCUUUCGGGGUUGGUGACGGUACCUGCAGAAGAAGCGCCGGCUAACUACGUGCCAGCAGCCGCGGUAAUACGUAGGGCGCAAGCGUUAUCCGGAAUUAUUGGGCGUAAAGAGCUCGUAGGCGGUUUGUCGCGUCUGCCGUGAAAGUCCGGGGCUUAACCCCGGAUCUGCGGUGGGUACGGGCAGACUAGAGUGCAGUAGGGGAGACUGGAAUUCCUGGUGUAGCGGUGAAAUGCGCAGAUAUCAGGAGGAACACCGAUGGCGAAGGCAGGUCUCUGGGCUGUAACUGACGCUGAGGAGCGAAAGCAUGGGGAGCGAACAGGAUU